GACGAGCGGGGAUGAGGCCGCCGCCGCCCGCCAAGCACCCGGACCCAGCCUAAGCGCCUCUCCUCGCUGCCCGUGACGGAAACUCAAGGUCUUGCGAUGCAAACCAGGCUACCCUUGAAUUCUCAGCUUCCUAGUUGAUUGCAUGUAUUACCAGGCCCAGGCUAUCCCGAAACUGAGGAAAUAUCCCAGGGAAUAUUGGUACAGAGCUCUGCUGUUCUACAUAUGUCCUGAUUCAGCAAGGGAUUAUCAACUGCCGAGAUCCGAUUUCUGUUCCCUCAAAACACUUCACUGUCAUCAUCUGAUACCACACAAAUUUCUAUAUCGAGAUAGUCGACCUUCUUGCUUUUGGAUAACUAAGGUUUGUGGACUAUAGUCGAGGAAAUAUUCCCCGUAUUUCUUAUGGCUUUCAUUAAAAGCAAAAAGGUCGCGGGUGAGACCGCAACUCGGUAAUAGCUGAGUUAAAAUGGUAGAGAUCCUGCGUUAGACCCUGAGCUCAAAACAAGGAUCCAACUGGAGACACACCCUAAACGAAUUAAACCCGCAGCGUCUCAGCGCGCACGCGCACACUGCGGAGGCUGUUCCCGCCGCUCUCAGGCGGGAAUGUAACGGUUGCGCAUGCGCCUUGUGUCCGGCGCCUUCCCGCCCCCGCCUUUUCGCAGGAUAGAGAAAGUGAGGGCGGGGAAAAUCUGCGCGCGUGCCCGAAAAGCAGCAAGCAAGGGAAGGAUGGGGGAAGGGCCCGAGCGGGAAGAGUGCAAUCUGAACGCGCCAUGCUGCACGUUCCGUGCAGGGUGUGAUAAUUGGAGACCGGGUUCCAGUAAGAUCCGAGUGCGCCCCUUUUCCCCAAACCAGGGACGCCCCCAGCAGCAUGGGCCCCAAGCUUUCUCGCACUCGCCCCCCUCGAUCACAGCCCCGAGCGAGCUUCUUCCUCCCCUCCAUCACUCCUCCGCCCCACACACCGAUCCCCACUCACCAUGAUAGCAACGGGUUAGAAGGCGAGGGUGAGAGAUAGAAGCAGACACCGGGUCUCGGUUACCGUUCCCGACAACUAAGAGUCGAGGUAAGUAACGCAAUGAGGCGGAGGCGCCCGCUCCGAGCCUCUUAAGUAGCAGCUGGGGAGGGGCGGGCGCGGUCGCUGGUCACGGCCCCUCCCCGGGCCAGCCGCGUCCACUGGGCGCCCGGCCUGACCGCCGCAGAGGCGGGCUCGCCUCGGAGCCCCCUCCCUGCGUGGGCCCGCGCGCGGGGCGGGGCCGCCGCCGGGGCGCGCGCCAUGCUGCAGACAGGGGCGCGCCGCUGCAAUGCGGGGCGGCAACGGGUACUGUCGCAGAGGCAACCAGAGGAGAAUCGCUCCAUGUGGGCGAGCCCUGGGACUUGGCAUGUCCGCUGUUUUAGAGGUGAAGCAGCAUCCCAAUAUGCUUGUGAUCCAGAUAGCUCAAUUGAUCAUAUUCACGUGGCCACGCUGGAUGAAAUGUGGAUCAGUGACAACCCUGAGCACAAGGCAACCCUAAGUCACAUGCUAACAGUGGAGGAAGACAGAACAUAGGUCCCUGUGACAAUGCUCAGCUACAGAAGCCUUGGCCUGCUGCAUUGGCCGAGCACAUUUGUAAUAAAUUCAGAGUCACCAACACUGUAUCGGUGACACAAUAGGAAAAGGAGUCAAAGCCUUUCCGCUUGGUGACAUUUAACCACAAGUGAGCCCAGACUUUUGAAUUCUCUGCUCGGCUCUUCCUGUGUCUCCUGUGUCCUCUGUCCGUCCUGAGUGCUGUCCCAUGUCUGUGUGUUUCCUAAUAAAGUGCUUUGCUCUUGCUUUUAUUGACCAGCACAGAAAGCAAUGGAGGGUACCUCAUAGAAGUCUUUAAGAGUUUUACGAUGAAUGAAGUCACCAACCCAGAUAACAAAUGUUGUCAAGAAACAUCCUAGUGCCGCCACUUCAGUGUUUACAGUGGAUAUUUGUCUCAUAAAGUUGCUGUUUGCCUGUUUGCUGUUUUCAGGAUUUAUUACUGUAAUGCACACACACACACACACACACACACACACACACACACACACAGGGAUCAGGGUAGCAAAAGUUCUAGGUUGUAAAAAAUAAUUACAUUGGAAAUCCAAGGCAAAAACCUUUGAUUGUUCUCAGGUUAAACUGGCUGAGUUCCCCUGCACAACACACGUGGAGGGGUAGGACGAACACUGGCUGUGAGGUUCAGCAGGAGUUCCAGUCCUUUAGGAUAUAAGAGAUUUUCCUACAGUACUGCAGGACUACAGGCUGCCUACCUCUGGAUUUCCCGUUGUAGAAAAAAGUAGUUUGUUUAGGAAUUUGGGGUGUGUGCAAGUGUGGCUGGGUGUGUUUGUGUGAUCUUGGCGCUAAUGGAAACUCACCAGUGUGUAGUCCGUGUGGCUCACGCCUGUCGUGCGAGCCCCGAGAAAGCAGGAGCAGGAGGGGGGAUAUUUUUUCAAGGACAGGGUGGUUACAUAGUUCUAGGCCAGCCAGGACUACUACUUAGUGAGACUUUGGGAUUAUUGUUUUGUUUAGAUAGCCCUGGCUAUUUUAGAACUAUGUAGCCUGGGUUGGCCUUGAACUCACAGAGAUUCACCUCACCUGUUUCCUCCUCCUAAAUGCUGGGACUAAAGAUGAAAGGUGUCUGACCUGGCACCCUGGCAUGAGAGUAUGCAAAACAAAAA